GGGGAACCUUUUAAGGGCUUUGAAACUCUGUUUAAAGUUGGUAUAAAAAAAAUCAUUUGAAAACUCAAUUUAAUUUUAAAUAUCAUUUGAAGCCAAUAGUUCAUCUAAACUGAAGUUGGACCAGCACUCGACAUCCUAGAAAUCAACUUGC